rnacentral:rRNA from 1 species
UACGAAGGGGGCUAGCGUUGCUCGGAAUUACUGGGCGUAAAGCGCACGUAGGCGGAUUGUUAAGUCGGGGGUGAAAUCCUGGAGCUCAACUCCAGAACUGCCUUCGAUACUGGCGAUCUCGAGUUCGGGAGAGGUGAGUGGAACUGCGAGUGUAGAGGUGAAAUUCGUAGAUAUUCGCAAGAACACCGGUGGCGAAGGCGGCCAUCUGGACCGGCACUGACGCUGAGGCGCGAAAGCGUGGGGAGCAAACAGG